GCAGCAGCCACGGGAACACGGAGGGUGCAAGCGUUAAUCGGAAUUACUGGGCGUAAAGCGCACGCAGGCGGUCUGUCAAGUCAGAUGUGAAAUCCCCGGGCUUAACCUGGGAACUGCAUUUGAAACUGGCAGGCUAGAGUCUUGUAGAGGGGGGUAGAAUUCCAGGUGUAGCGGUGAAAUGCGUAGAGAUCUGGAGGAAUACCGGUGGCGAAGGCGGCCCCCUGGACAAAGACUGACGCUCAGGUGCGAAAGCGUGGGGAGCAAACAGGAUUAGAUACCCCUGUAGUCCCUGUCUCUUAUAC
rnacentral:rRNA from 1 species